rnacentral:rRNA from 1 species
GCAACGAGCGCACCCUUAGCCUUUAGUUGCCAGCAGUUCGGCUGGGCACUCUAAAGGGACUGCCGGUGUUAAACCGGAGGAAGGUGGGGAUGACGUCAAGUCCUCAUGGCCUUUAUGACCAGGGCUACACACGUACUACAAUGGCCGAUACAAAGGGCAGCGACACUGCGAGGUGAAGCCAAUCCCGUAAAAUCAGUCUCAGUCCGGAUUGGAGUCUGCAACUCGACUCCAUGAAGUUGGAAUCGCUAGUAAUCGUGGAUCAGCAUGCCACGGUGAAUACGUUCCCGGGCCUU